rnacentral:rRNA from 1 species
GAUGAACGCUGGCGGCGUGCCUAAUACAUGCAAGUCGAGCGAACGGACGAGAAACUUGCUUCUCUGAUGUUAGCGGCGGACGGGUGAGUAACACGUGGAUAACCUACCUAUAAGACUGGGAUAACUUCGGGAAACCGGAGCUAAUACCGGAUGAUAUCUUGAACCGCAAGGUUCAAAAGUGAAAGACGGACUUGCAGUCACUUAAAGAGGGACCCGCGCUGCAUUAGUUAGUUGGUAGGGUAACGGCUUACCAAGGCAACGAAGCAUAGCCGACCUGAGAGGUGGAUCGGCCACACUGGAACUGAGACACGGUCCAGACUCCUACGGGAGGCAGCAGUAGGGAAUCUUCCGCAAUGGGCGAAAGCCUGACGGAGCAACGCCGCGUGAGUGAUGAAGGUCUUCGGAUCGUAAAACUCUGUUAUUAGGGAAGAACAUAUGUGUAAGUAACUGUGCACAUCUUGACGGUACCUAAUCAGAAAGCCACGGCUAACUACGUG